rnacentral:rRNA from 1 species
UGGGGAAUAUUGCACAAUGGGGGAAACCCUGAUGCAGCGACGCCGCGUGAGUGAAGAAGUAUUUCGGUAUGUAAAGCUCUAUCAGCAGGGAAGAACAUGACGGUACCUGACUAAGAAGCCCCGGCUAACUACGUGCCAGCAGCCGCGGUAAUACGUAGGGGGCAAGCGUUAUCCGGAUUUACUGGGUGUAAAGGGAGCGUAGACGGCAGAGCAAGUCUGAAGUGAAAGCCCGGGGCUCAACCCCGGGACUGCUUUGGAAACUGCCCGGCUAGAGUGCAGGAGGGGCAAGCGGAAUUCCUAGUGUAGCGGUGAAAUGCGUAGAUAUUAGGAGGAACACCGGUGGCGAAGGCGGCUUGCUGGACUGUAACUGACGUUGAGGCUCGAAAGCGUGGGGAGCAAACAGG